GUAGUCUCGCACAGAUGCAUAUCAAUAAGCGGAGGAAAAGAAACUAACAAGGAUUCCCCUAGUAACGGCGAGUGAAGCGGGAAGAGCUCAAAUUUGAAAUCUUAAAGGGUUUCCCUUUACGAAUUGUAGUUUAAAGAAGUGUUUUCUGUUGAGGUUUUGGUAAAAGUUCUUUGGAAUAGGACAUCAUAGAGGGUGAGAAUCCCGUAUUUGACCUUUACUUUCAACUUUGUGAUACACUUUCAAAGAGUCGGAUUGUUUGGGAAUGCAGUCCAAAAUGGGUGGUAAAUUUCAUCUAAAGCUAAAUAUUGGCGAGAGACCGAUAGCGAACAAGUACCGUGAGGGAAAGAUGAAAAGAACUUUGAAAAGAGAGUUAAACAGUACGUGAAAUUGUCAAAAGGGAAGCGUUUGACACCAGUGUUGUUUUUCUGAAAAUCAAUUAAAGAACUGUUUAUGCUAAGCUGUCUAGACUUUAUCAGCUAUCUGCUUAGUUUUGAGCUUUUCUUUAAUGCACUUUUCAGUUAACAAGUCAACAUCAAUUUCUUUUGCUGUAAAAAAGCUUGAGGAAGGUGGCUUGAGAUUCGUCUUAAGUGUUUAUAGCCUCUUGCCUAUGCAGUCGGAGAGAUUGAGGUCUGCAGCGUAGAUCCUUCGGGGCUAAAUGCAUUUGUGCUAAGUUAUAGCAUUUUAUAGACAACUUGUUGACUAUGAUUUGUCUUGUAGCUUACUCGCUUAUGUUAUUUUACCUACGCUUAGGAUGUUGACGCAUGAGAUAUACGC
rnacentral:rRNA from 1 species